AUUACUGCUGAGCCACAGUGGGAACUCCCAUUGUCUUUGUAUCGCUUAGUUUCCACAUGUGAGUCUAAUUUCUCCUUUGAGUUGGGGUGUGGUGGUGGGGUCUUGCGGCAGGUUGACAAAGAGGAGGACAGGGAGAUGAGAACCUGUGCUCUGAUCCUGUGCUGCCACUGACAGGUUGUGUGACCUUCAAAAAGACUUGUAACCUCUCUGACCUUUCAUUUCCUGUUGUAUCAGGUCGGGAAGCCGGAACCCAACGAGCAGUGGUUUUUACCCAGGAUCACACUGUCUGUCUCAUCUGGGGAAACAGUAGCUGUUCAGAAGCCCCAGGCACCACCUGUGGAGAUCCCACUGCAGAAGGACCAGGCUAGGGCCCCAGCUCCUCUCUGGUUGGAAGCACAGCCCUCGACAUCGCUGUAGGGCCUGGUGGCUUUAUAGUCUGCAGCCACUGGUGCAGGAGUUUCUUACUUUUAACAAAUCCCCAGAAUGCUCUGGGAAUCGGGUACUAUGCUUGCCCAUUUUUAGUAACUAAGGUUUAAGAUCAUAUAGUGUAAAAUUCCCAAACUAUUCUUGGCCGAGGUAAGUUUGCCACAAGCUGAUUAGCGAUGGUCUUAGCUGCCUAUUGCUGAGUAACCAAUGACCCAAAAGCUUAGCAGCCUAGAGCAACAUGCAUUUACAAUCUCACGGUUUCUACGGGGCACAGCCUCCGUGGGUGCCCUGCUUCAGGGUGACUUUAAAAGCUGCCCUCGGGGCUGCCGUGGUUGUUGGGAGGAUUUGUGGCCUCGAAGGCGGUUGGCCAGAAGCUGCGCUCCGUUCCUUGCCACACAGGCCUCUCCAGCCUAGCAUCCUGCUUCACCAGAGCAAGCGAGCCAGGAAGGCGAGCCAGGUGCCAGCCAGACGGGACCACAGUCCUUUCAGCCUGUCUCACGAGUUACCUCCCAGCACUGUUGCCACAGUCUAUGCAAGAGAAGCAAGGCGCUGGAAAGCCUUCAGUGAUGGGCCUUUGUGCAAGCUCAUCAUCAUAAAGCCCAUCCAUGCGGACCACAACAGACAUGGAAAGCGAGGGCCCGGGUGUACAGAGCCAGCCUCUCCUCUGGUGGUUGGAUUGGUUUAUGCAAUCCUCCUUUUGUCUUCUUUAGGCUCACAGGACUGAGACUCCAAACUGGGCUUGGAGAGUCAUCCCCCUGGAGCCGUCUCAUCACACUGCCAGGAUGUAGUUCAUUUUCUAGAACCAGGAGCUCCAGUGUGGAAGCAUCUGCCGGGAAGCCCCACGGCCCCACAUGGAUUCCCCAGUAUGAAGCAAAGUCCUUCCUGGGAAAACAGGUGGGAUUGCCUCUGCCUCUUCUCUACCCAGUCUCUCUAGUGGCAACAAUCUAACUGUGUUGCCUUGAACUCUGUAUUCCUAUGGUAGAAUGAAAGAAAAAUCUAGAAUAGUGAGCACAAACAGAACUUUGAAACAGCAUUUCUAGUUCAACUUCAGCUUCCUGGCAGGCCUGUCCUCAAAUCGUAGCAGCCAUAUGACUCUACUUUUAUUUUAUUGUUUAUUUGUUUGUUUGUUUGUCUUUUUAGGGCGGCACCCUUGGCAUAUGGAGGUUCCCAGGCUAGGGGUCAAAUCGGAGCUAUAGCUGUUGGCCUACACCACAGCCACAGCAACACCAGAUCCAAGCCGUAUUUUCAACAUACCGCACAGCUCAGGGCAACACUGGAUCCUUAACCCACUGAGCAAGGCCAGGGAGUGAACCUGCAUCCUCAUGGAUGCUAGUCAGAUUUGUUUCCGCUGAUCCAUGCCAGGAACUCUGUGCUUCUAUUUUUGAAUGCCUUUAGAAAUCAUUCUUAAUUUGCUUAAAUCAAAUCACUGCUUAGUGACACCUAUUCCACGCAAGUGACCAGCGUCAAUGGAGGCUACAGUGAUAUGACAUGCCUUUGCCUCGCUUGUCACUGCCCUGUGAGGCAGGUGGUAUUUGCUUCUCUGCAGAGCAGGAAACUGUGUUUCAGAGCAGUACAGUAACUUCUCCAAGGACACACAGCAAGUAAGGGGGUCGGGUGAGGGGCAGGCAGGUCUGGAACCCACUUCUUUCGGCUCCAGAUCCCAAGCCCCUGUCCUCUUUCCUUUUUUUCAAGGGAGUUUAACUUUAAAAAUCUAAUCAAGACGAACAUGAAAGUGAUAUUAUGUAGAGAGUUUCACAAAGGAGUUCAAAACGUAGCACAUUUUUUAAAUUGUCUUUUUCAUUCUUGAUGAGGAAAGCUGAGGUUUAAUGACUAGGCUGUUUUACUUGUAAAAAAAGAUCCAGCCCGCUAAAAGCCUCUGCCAGAAGUCUAUGGCAUUUAUUUAUUUUUUAUUUAUUUCUUAGGGCCACACCCACGGCACAUGGAAUUUCCCAGGUUAGGAGUCAAAUCAGAGCUACCUCUGCCAGCCUAUGCCAUAGCCACAGCCACAGCCACAGCCACAUGGGAUCUGAGCCACAUCUUUGACCUAUACCACAGCUCACAGCAAUCCCGGAUCCUUAACCCACUGAGCGAGGCCAGGGAUUGAACCCGCAUCCUCAUGGAUGCUAGUCGGGUUCAUUAACUGCUGAGCCACGAAGGGAACUCCUGUCUAUGACAUUUUUAAAAACUCAAAUUUAUAUGUGUUAAUUAUUUUUAUCAAAGCAAUGCUUCUUUGAAGUAAAGUUUAUGUAUAGAAGCCCCAUGCCACACACGCUCCCUCCCCCAAGAGAGAACAUCCCUCAAAUUCCAGGGCUGCCCCCAGCAUUUACCUCUGUCAUUUAAAACUACACUGCUAUUUCUUAAAAUAUCAAUUUUAGACAUUAUCUAUUGACUCUGGGCCAUGGUAGAUAAGGACUUCAUUUUUCCACACCACUGCCUGCUUUUCUUUCCUUUUAUCCCUGUGGCAUAUUUAUAAAAUAAUUUUUGGCAAAAAUCAAUAAUCAACACUUACACAUCGAGCCAGAGGUAAACUCCAACCAAACCUCCUUUCUCCUAUAAUCUUUUGUUUUUCCUAGAAUUCAUAAUUGCCUCAUUUUUUUCAUUUUAACCUGGCUUUCUGUGAAUCUUUCACACUUUUCUCCAAAUUUUUAUGUAUGUCAUAAUAAUACUUUCUAGAAUUGCAAACCAAUUCUCAUUUCCUUUUGUUUUGUUUUGUUUUCCUUAAGAGUCCUCACUCAAGGGAGUUCAUGUCGUGGCUCAGUGGAAACAAAUCCUACUAGUAUCCAUGAGGAUGCAGGUUUGAUCCCUGGUCUUGCUCAGUGGGUCAGGGAUCCAGCGUUGUCGUGAGCUGUGGUGUAGGUCUCAGACACAGGCCCAGAUCCCACAUUGCUGUGGCUAUGGUGUAGGCCAGCAGCUGUAGCUGCAAUUCUACCCCUAGUCUGGGAAAUUCCAUAUGUCAGGGGUGUGGCCCUGAAAAAAAGGGGGGGGGGACAACCUCUUGAGACAGACUCAAGAGGCUGUCUGUUCAAAUGUCCCAUUGUGCCAAUGUUAUCAGCUGCUUUCAGGGCAUACUGCAUAGCAGACACACUGGGAACUCUCUCCUCCAUUCUCUGGUUUUUGGUCCCCUCAUCCUUGGCUCACAUAUCUUCUUAUAUCUUGAUUUAUUUCAUUUUUUGCUAGAUAACAUCCCAGAGUGCAUUCCUAAGAAUGGGUACAUUGUGUUUUUUGAAUUUGAAUUUGUAAAGGCAAAAUUUUUGAAUUGUAAAAAUAUCUUUGUUCCACUUCACGUUUGGCUUCUACUUUGGUUGUGUAUGGUAUCCUAAGGUGAAAGUCAUUUUCCUUUGGAAUUCUGAAGGCACAGCUGUCCAGAACUCUCAAGGGUCACGUUCUAUCCUCCUUGCAAGCUAGCUAGCCAGCUGUCAGUUUCAUGGAGGCAGAAGACAUGAGGUUCCUGGGUCAGAGACAAAGGAUAGCUUAUUACUCACAGCAGAAUGUCAGCAUUUUUGGCACAUAUUCCCCUAACCCCAAUUCUCAUAGGAAGCCUAAAGAGGACCAAAUGAGAGCUGCACAUGCACAAUAGGUUGUGUUACAAGAGAGGAACCCUGAGCUUAGGGAACCCCAAUCUUUUAUAAUAGGCAUGCCUACCUUUUGCUCUGGAGAGAAAUACUGUAGCUGUCUUCCAAAACUGUUCACUCUACAUACAUACUUGAAAAUGGAGUCCAUUCAAAAGAAGUGGCAGUCAGGGCCUCUCUCAUAAGACAUUUGGAAAGGCAAGAGACACAUGGCAGAUGGUCUGCCAAAAACUAUCUCCUCCCCCACUGCUCCUGAGCUUCCCCUGAUGUCAGUGCUCUCAUUUUCUGUAGCUGGUUGCCUUUUGCCUCCCUGGAAGCCUUUGAACCACCUCUUUCUACCUGGUCUUCUGAAAUUUCCAAUAUCAAUUUAGAGACUUACAUCCUCCAUCUCUAGAGAUUUUUUUCUUACACGGUUUCUUUGAUAAUUAGAUGGACUCUUUCUCCCUUGUACCCCCUUAUGGAAUGCUCUCAUUUUCUUUGUUUGUUUGCUCUGUGUUUCAGGUUGGAGGAUUUUCCUUAGGUUCCUGUUAGCUAUGGAUGUCUUUAAGAGUGUAUUUAAAAAUAAGAGACUAGGGAGUUCCCAUCGUGGCUCAGCAGUAACAAAUCUGACCAGUAUCCAUGUGGAUGCAGGUUCAAUCCCUGGCCUCGCUCAGUAGGUUAAGGAUCCAGUGUUGCCAUGUGCUGUGGUGUAGGUUGCAGAUGCAGCCCAGAUCUCGUGUUGCUGUGGAUGGGGUGUAGGCUGGCAGCUACAGCUCCAAUUCAACCCCUAGCCUGGAAACUUCCAUAUGCCAUGGGUGUGGCCCUAAAAAG
rnacentral:lncRNA from 1 species